UACACGACCGUACCGCAAACCGACACUGGUGCGCGAGAUGAGUAUUCUAAGGCGCUUGAGAGAACUCAGGAGAAGGAACUCGGCAAAUUGACACCGUAACUUCGGAAGAAGGUGUGCCUUUAGUAGGUGAAGUCCCUCGCGGAUGGAGCCCAAUGAGGUUGCAAAAAAUCGGUGGCUGCGACUGUUUAUUAAAAACACAGCACUCUGCAAACACGAAAGUGGACGUAUAGGGUGUGACGCCUGCCCGGUGCUGGAAGAUUAAAUGAUGGGGUGCAAGCUCUUGAUUGAAGUCCCAGUAAACGGCGGCCGUAACUAUAACGGUCCUAAGGUAGCGAAAUUCCUUGUCGGGUAAGUUCCGACCUGCACGAAUGGCGUAACGAUGGCCACACUGUCUCCUCCUGAGACUCAGCGAAGUUGAAAUGUUUGUGAUGAUGCAAUCUCCCCGCGGAAAGACGGAAAGACCCCAUGAACCUUUACUGUAGCUUUGUAUUGGACUUUGAACAGAUCUGUGUAGGAUAGGUGGGAGGCUUUGAAGCAGGGUCGCUAGAUCUUGUGGAGCCAACGUUGAAAUACCACCCUGGUGUGUUUGAGGUUCUAACCUAGGCCCGUAAUCCGGGUUGGGGACAGUGCAUGGUAGGCAGUUUGACUGGGGCGGUCUCCUCCCAAAGUGUAACGGAGGAGUUCGAAGGUACGCUAGUUACGGUCGGACAUCGUGACGAUAGUGCAAUGGCAUAAGCGUGCUUAACUGCGAGACUGACAAGUCGAGCAGAUGCGAAAGCAGGACAUAGUGAUCCGGUGGUUCCGUAUGGAAGGGCCAUCGCUCAACGGAUAAAAGGUACUCUGGGGAUAACAGGCUGAUACCGCCCAAGAGUUCAUAUCGACGGCGGUGUUUGGCACCUCGAUGUCGGCUCAUCUCAUCCUGGGGCUGUAGCCGGUCCCAAGGGUAUGGCUGUUCGCCAUUUAAAGAGGUACGUGAGCUGGGUUUAAAACGUCGUGAGACAGUUUGGUCCCUAUCUUCCGUGGGCGCUGCAGAUUUGAGGAAGCCUGCUCCUAGUACGAGAGGACCGGAGUGGACGCACCUCUGGUGUAUCGGUUGUCACGCCAGUGGCAUUGCCGAGUAGCUAUGUGCGGAAGAGAUAACCGCUGAAAGCAUCUAAGCGGGAAACUCGUUUCAAGAUGAGAUCUGCCGGGGCCUUGAGCCCCCUGAAGAGUCGUUCAAGACCAGGACGUUGAUAGGUCGGGUGUGGAAGCGCAGUAAUGCGUUAAGCUAACCGAUACUAAUUGCUCGUGCGGCUUGACC
rnacentral:rRNA from 1 species